rnacentral:rRNA from 1 species
GACAGAGGAGGCGAGCGUUAUCCGGAGUUAUUGGGCGUAAAGGGUACGUAGGCGGCUAGUCAAGUCUGGGGUUAAAGACCACAGCUUAACUGUGGGGAGGCCUUGGAAACUGACUGGCUAGAGUGGGGCAGGGGUUGCGGGAAUUCCCGGUGUAGCGGUGAAAUGCGUAGAUAUCGGGAAGAACACCUGAGGCGAAAGCGCGCAACUGGGCCCUCACUGACGCUGAGGUAAGAAAGCUAGGGGAGCGAAUGGG